UGCUGAGGGUGUAUACUCACUGGAGACCCAAGGAUUCAGUCCAGGGUAUGGAACUCACUGUAGUGUCCCAUGCACAUCCAUACCAGGAGGCCAAUGGAUCUGAGGCAGAAGGCAGAAGAGUCUAUGAAGGAAGGCUGCAGGAUCUGCAUUGGAAGCCAAAGAGUCUGCUCCGGGAGCCAGGAGAUGACAUCCAAUGUGAAGGCAAAGAGUGGAGCUCCUCUGAAGAAACAGAAGCAGAUCCAUCCUUCUUCACUUCCCCUUUAUACUAUCCAGGUUUUUACCUGCUCAUCUGAUGGCUGAGCCCUUCUCGGCUUCCACUUUGAUUUCUAGGGUCUUCUCAGGCCCCAGCAUCCUAGCCAUCUUGUCACUUACUCAUGCUGACUCCAGGUUUUGUUGUUUUAAACAAUUUGAAGUCCAGCCUUCUUCAGCCAGUUUGAAGGGAAGCCUGCUGUGACAGAAGGCAGGAGGAUGCCCCCUUUGCCUCCCCAACUCUGGCAUUUUCUUCCCAGGUUUCUGAAUAAAGCUGAGAAGUGGAAUCCAUUCCAAAGGUGGUCAGCUUGGGUCUGCUAGAGGCUUGACUCCUCCAGGAGAAGAGGUAACACCUGGGGGCCCUGUCUUCACCCAUUUGGGACUAUGAAUCCCAGAUUCUUCUAAAUUUCAUAUUCUGCCACUUGGCACAGAGUGUGUCAGGUCCGAAGU